GAGGAAGGAAAGAUAAACCAGGACCUAA
rnacentral:piRNA from 1 species